UACGAAGGGGGCUAGCGUUGUUCGGAAUCACUGGGCGUAAAGGGUGCGUAGGCGGCGCAGCAAGUCAGGGGUGAAAUCCCGGGGCUCAACCCCGGAACUGCCCUUGAAACUGCAGUGCUAGAAUUCUGGAGAGGCGAGUGGAAUUCCGAGUGUAGAGGUGAAAUUCGUAGAUAUUCGGAAGAACACCAGUGGCGAAGGCGACUCGCUGGACAGACAUUGACGCUGAGGUGCGAAAGCGUGGGGAGCAAACAGG
rnacentral:rRNA from 1 species